rnacentral:rRNA from 1 species
CCUACGGGUGGCAGCAGUGAGGAAUAUUGGUCAAUGGGCUUACGCCUGAACCAGCCAAGUCGCGUGAGGGAAGACUGCCCUACGGGUUGUAAACCUCUUUUGCCAGGGAGCAAUGGGCGCCACGUGUAGCGUCACCGAGAGUACCCGAAGAAAAAGCAUCGGCUAACUCCGUGCCAGCAGCCGCGGUAAUACGGAGGAUGCGAGCGUUAUCCGGAUUUAUUGGGUUUAAAGGGUGCGUAGGCGGAAUGCCAAGUCAGCGGUAAAAUCGCGGGGCUCAACCUCGCUCCGCCGUUGAAACUGGCGUUCUUGAGUGGGCGAGAAGUAUGCGGAAUGCGUGGUGUAGCGGUGAAAUGCAUAGAUAUCACGCAGAACUCCGAUUGCGAAGGCAGCAUGCCGGCGCCCGACUGACGCUGAAGCACGAAAGCGUGGGUAUCGAACAGGAUUAGAUACCCGAGUAGUC